rnacentral:snRNA from 1 species
AUCACUUCUCGGCCUUUUGGCUAAGAUCAAGUGUAGUAACAACCGUCUGAGUAUUUCUUUGUUCCUUUGUUAAAUGAAAUUAAUGAGAAUAAGAUAU